rnacentral:rRNA from 1 species
AUUGAACGCUGGCGGCAGGCCUAACACAUGCAAGUCGAGCCGCAGCGGGAAAGUAGCUUGCUACUUUUGCCGGCGAGCGGCGGACGGGUGAGUAAUGCCUGGGAAAUUGCCCAGUCGAGGGGGAUAGCAGUUGGAAACGACUGCUAAUACCGCAUACGCCCUACGGGGGAAAGCAGGGGACCUUCGGGCCUUGCGCGAUUGGAUAUGCCCAGGUGGGAUUAGCUAGUUGGUGAGGUAAUGGCUCACCAAGGCGACGAUCCCUAGCUGGUCUGAGAGGAUGAUCAGCCACACUGGAACUGAGACACGGUCCAGACUCCUACGGGAGGCAGCAGUGGGGAAUAUUGCACAAUGGGGGAAACCCUGAUGCAGCCAUGCCGCGUGUGUGAAGAAGGCCUUCGGGUUGUAAAGCACUUUCAGCGAGGAGGAAAGGUUGAUGCCUAAUACGUAUCAACUGUGACGUUACUCGCAGAAGAAGCACCGGCUAACUCCGUGCCAGCAGCCGCAGUAAGAC